rnacentral:tRNA from 1 species
AGAAAAGUAAGCUAAAAUAAGCUAGUGGGUUCAUACCCCAUUAAUAGAGAUUCUCUUCUCUCUUCUCUA